GGGGAUGUAGCUCAGUGGUAGAGCGCUUGCUUUGCAUGUAAGAGGUCCGGGGUUCGAACCCCCGCAUCUCCA
rnacentral:tRNA from 1 species